rnacentral:rRNA from 1 species
AUGAACGCUGGCGGCGUGCCUAAUACAUGCAAGUCGAGCGAACAGACGAGGAGCUUGCUCCUCUGACGUUAGCGGCGGACGGGUGAGUAACACGUGGAUAACCUACCUAUAAGACUGGGAUAACUUCGGGAAACCGGAGCUAAUACCGGAUAAUAUAUUGAACCGCAUGGUUCAAUAGUGAAAGACGGUUUUGCUGGCACUUAUAGAUGGAUCCGCGCCGCAUUAGCUAGUUGGUAAGGUAACGGCUUACCAAGGCAACGAUGCGUAGCCGACCUAAGGGGGGAUCCGCCCCCCCGGAACUUAGACACGGUCCCCGCCCCCACGGGAGGGCAGCGUGGGGAAUUUUUCCCCAUGGGGCAAAGCCCGACCGAGCCAACCCCGGUGUGUGAAUAAGGUCUUCCGAUUGUAAAACCCUUUUUUUUGGGAAAAAAAAAAGUUGGAAAAAACCUUGCCCGUUUUGCGUUUCCCAAAGCAAAAGCCCCGGCUUACCUCCUU